CUUACAGAGUUUAUUGGCAUUCUGUCCACCUCCUGCUCUAUAUGGAUUUCUUUUUCUUUUAAUUUGAAGUAAAAGAUAAGAACUAGAUUAUAAAAAGAAGAAAAAAAGUGAUUUAUAUUGUCUGUUGUGGAGGAGGUGGGCAUACUGCCAACUGAGCUGUGUUGG
rnacentral:pre_miRNA from 1 species